rnacentral:rRNA from 1 species
AGCGAACGCUGGCGGCAGGCCUAACACAUGCAAGUCGAGCGGCCGUAGCAAUACGGCAGCGGCAGACGGGAGAGUAACACGUGGGAACGCGCCCUUCGGUCUGGAAUAACCCAGGGAAACUUGGGCUAAUACCGGAUACGCCCUUACGGGGAAAGAUUUAUUGCCGAAGGAACGGCCCGCGUCUGAUUAGCUAGUUGGUGAGGUAACGGCUCACCAAGGCGACGAUCGGUAGCUGGUCUGAGAGGAUGACCAGCCUCACUGGGACUGAGACACGGCCCAGACUCCUACGGGAGGCAGCAGUGGGGAAUAUUGGACAAUGGGCGCAAGCCUGAUCCAGCCAUGCCGCGUGGGUGAUGAAGGCCCUAGGGUUGUAAAGCCCUUUCAGCGGGGAAGAUAAUGACGGUACCCGCAGAAGAAGCCCCGGCUAACUUCGUGCCAGCCGCCGCCGUAAAAC